UGAAGAUUUGGGAUUGUCGACGAAGCUAGCUACCAUAUACCAGCUCAUCUAUCUCUGAUCACAAAUCCGGAUUCAUUCAUCAUUAUCGACAUGUUAUCUGUCGCAAAUCAAUUCUGCAGACGGGUCAUCCAUCGAGUCAUUUGGAAUUAAAAGAUAAUGCCAAAAUGAGUAAAAUUUUAAUUUUUAAACAGUUUGAUUAGAAAUUUGCAAGACAAGGGACUUCUGCGAGAAACUUCGAAGAUGGUAGUUAACAAUGACAUCCCGGUGUUGCAGCGAUGUUCAGCAUGGACAUGUGCAUGUGCUGGGGGAAAUCGGGUGGACCUGGGAAGCCUCCCGACUUUCAAGAAAUUUAUGACUGCUCUUCUCACGAUAGUGCUACCAACGACCCUCUUCUUCAUCACCCGCGUUGCACUAGACCCAAGCACUUCAAUGACAUCGUCAUCAGAGAAAGACCAGGUUCGGAUUCAUGAUCAAAUCACAAUUCAUACACGCAGUUAUAACAACUGUGGCAUCAUAUGCCAACUGUUUAAUUACUCGCAACCAAUGUGGAAAUUGCCUGACCCAGCGGUAAAGCUCUGCAAGCCGUCAUCUUCUCUGGUUUUUGUCAAGACCCAUAAAACCGGAAGUACUACCUUGACGAAGAUUGUCAAUCGAUACGGACUGGCGCGGAACUUAUCGUUUCUGAUCUACUCCAAAGACCCUCUAAAAGGACAUUUCUGUCAGGUUGCUCCGACCAAACCGUCGGAUAUACUUCCCCCAAUCGGCGUUGAGCCUGGGGACUUUGAUCACUAUUCGAACUACGACAUGGCUGCGGUUCACAUCCGACUGUUUCCAAAUCUCAAGUUCUUCACCCGUUUCAUGAAUCCGCGGACCCGGUACAUCACAAUACUCCGCGAUCCGGUUGACCAGUGGGAAUCCGCCUUUGUCUUUUUUAUUUGCCAUACCAAAAUGAAAUUGAAAGGUCUUGACAUUGAACAAAGCAUAACCACCUUCUUGAAGAAACCGUCAUAUUAUUGGCAAAAAUUUCCCGGUCAAUGUAAGCUAUUUUCGAAGAAUGGAAUGGCCUUUGACCUGCUGUCAGAAGAUUCCUUGCACAACCUAGAUAACAUAUCGGUUGAAAGCGCGGUAGCAUUCCUUGACGAAAAGAUGGACCUUGUCCUUAUCUCGGACUACAUGGACGAAUCGCUUCUACUUCUCAAACACCUAAUGUGCUGGGACUUCGAGGAUAUACUAUACGUAAGUGCAAACAGGCGAUCUUCCAGAACGAAAAUGAGCGAGUCACAGAAAGCCAAAAUAAGGCAAUGGAACCCAAUUGAUACCAUCCUUUAUGAACAUUUCAACCGAACACUUUGGAAGAAGAUCGCCGCGAUCGGGCCCAGGUUUUGGAAGGACCUGGACUACUUUCGUACGCUAGUGGUUUAGGGUUAGGAUUGCAUGGGAUAGGUUACAGUGUCAAAUCCAGGGUUGAAUUUAGUCGAUUAGCCAUUACAUAGAGUACGUUGAAUUUCCAUCGGAGCAAUUGUCAUGGAACAAAUGUCGUGGAACCAUUCCAAUUAACCAUUCAGGGUGACAGACAACACUUGCUUCUACCCCAUGAAAGCUGACGAGUAUCUGGGUAUAUAGCGUUUCAUGAAAGGACUUGUCGGACAUCUGACAAGUCAUGUUUUAUCCGACAGUUACCAUAGGAACAGUGCCUCUUAGCCAAUCAAAAUCAAGGAAAUAUUAUGUCAGAUCUGACAACUUGCCGACCAAAAAUGUUGAUGGCAGAUGAAACGCGCCCCUAAAUUUGUCUUGGAGUAUCAGUCCCGUUUCGUAAAUUUCUGUGUGUCAAUAAUCCGCAGUACUGUUAGACCAACAUUCUGGUUUAACGUACACCAUGUUCUAAUUAUGUGUUAAAAAUAUGGGAAGCCAAAAAAUAUCGAAAUUGCACUUAUACUAUACACAAUAUCUAUCUUUACCUGGCGCUUUCAUUUAUUUUAAUGAGACAGUUAACAAUUUCAGUAAUUAAUUCCAGUCAUUUGAGAAUGGUUUGUCAAAAGGGGUGACAAUAUGAACUUGCACUGUUAGCAUGGUUAGAGACACCCAUCAUGAUUGGUUGCCCAACUUCAUACCGGAGUUUCUGUUUAGGGUAACUCCCGCGUUUAACUCGGCAGCUAGUACAGCGUUUUGUUGUAAACACCAAGCUGGUAUAUAACCAGUUAGCUCGGAAACGUUUUACGUCUAGGUUAUUCAGUUUAGAUUAAUAUGUUCAUAUUAUUAGACUGAAAAUGUGACUCACACUGUUAAAAUGCUCAAAGGUUACAAUGUUACAAUGUGAAGAUAAUCUAUCACUGUGGAUACCUCGACAGUGUAAGUGUGAUCACAGUUUGUUUGCAGAGGCCUGCAUUCUGAAGUCGGGUUUAACUUAGACCAUGGUCUAACUCUGUGCUAAAAUCAUGGGAAGCCAAAAGUAUCAAUUUGUUUUUAUUAAGUUGUAUGUUUUUUAUAUUUACUGUGCUCUUUCCUGAUUCUUCAAUGGUGAAGUCAAUCAUCUAUUUAUACUUUCUAGACAAUUAUGAAUGAUUUGAAAGCCAAAUGAGCUGAAAUAUGAUAUCUCUACUGUUAGUGAUUUAUGUAACAAUCGGCUAUCCAUACUUAAGCCACAACUUUAAACCUGAGUUUAAAUUAAACCCGACUUCAGAAUACGGGCCAGAGUGGGCUAUGUGUGAAGUUGUGAUUCAUACUAUUCAAAUAUAUUUAAAUUUUACUGUAUGAAUUUUAUUUAUUUAUUUUUCUUCUACAUAACAAUACAGAACAUAUAUCAUUGAACAUAAAAUAAGUUGCAGAAGAUGGAUUGCCAUUGUAAUCAGAAAUGCUUGAUAUAUGACAAACUGAAACAUAUUAAUUAUAUGAUCAUAUUAUGAGCAGAAUGGAUGUCUAAGAAUUAUUAAAGUAUAUCAAUUCUAU